AAAAGGUCACUCACCUCCAAUAGUUACUUGGUAUGUACUUAAGUAUUAAGAAAACAAACUAAACCACUUCUAGAUUGCUAAGUUUAAAAUAAUAUUAUCUUGAAAGUCUAAGAAAUUCAAACGAUUUGAUUUAUCAAUUUCCAUGAUUUCGAGCAAGGACUUCCAGUUCCGACAGGACCAAACUCUUGUUCUGUUAUUCACAUCCAAUUUCUAUUCCAGAUAACCAAGGGCAAAGGGCGUUUGAAAGGACAGUACAAGUGUCGUCAGGUACGCUCAACUCUUUGACGAACUGACAUUAUGAAGCUGAUUGGUAUUAUUCACAUGGGACUGUCAAAAUAGCUAAGUAAUAUUUUCUCUACCAAUACCGUUUCAGAACUGAGAGCUGGAAUAAGUUGGUGUGCGCUAUCUGUAUAACGCACUUGUACAAUGGAUGAUUGGAGAAGACGACCGUUAGUGUCAGAAUGUUAAUUGGGCGCUUCCCUAAGAGAGUCCCUCUAAAUUUCUUGUAUAUCUAGGUGAAAAGCAGAAUGAAAGUGUUGGAGUGUUGGUGGAUGGAUGUAGAUCUUUUACUUGAUUGAACUACUACAAGGUUGUGUGUUGUCUCAAUUCUUUUGGUUCUGAUCGUUGGUAUGCCGUUGAGUAAGUUGCUUUGUUUUAUGAAAUAAAUUGCUGAUAUUUGUGUA